AUGGAACACUUGGUAAAGGCAUGCAGAAGCUUUCUUCAGAAAGAGGGAAGCCAGCAGCUUUCCAGCAAGGCUCUGCUGGAGUUAUGUGCUCAGAGUGAAUACCAAGCACUUUUCAGGGCAUCCCUCUGCCCUUGCACUGGCGCCUUUGCCGAGGGCAGCAGCUGCGCCUCUUUUGCACCGCUGCAAUAUCUGACUGCAGCCCCAGCCUCAGCAGCAGGACAGACAUCUGAGCAUCCCAGGUAG
rnacentral:lncRNA from 1 species